rnacentral:rRNA from 1 species
UGGGGAAUUUUGGACAAUGGGCGAAAGCCUGAUCCAGCAAUGCCGCGUGUGUGAAGAAGGCCUUCGGGUUGUAAAGCACUUUUGUCCGGAAAGAAAUCCUUGGCUCUAAUACAGUCGGGGGAUGACGGUACCGGAAGAAUAAGCACCGGCUAACUACGUGCCAGCAGCCGCGGUAAUACGUAGGGUGCAAGCGUUAAUCGGAAUUACUGGGCGUAAAGCGUGCGCAGGCGGUUUGCUAAGACCGAUGUGAAAUCCCCGGGCUCAACCUGGGAACUGCAUUGGUGACUGGCAGGCUAGAGUAUGGCAGAGGGGGUAGAAUUCCACGUGUAGCAGUGAAAUGCGUAGAGAUGUGGAGGAAUACCGAUGGCGAAGGCAGCCCCCUGGGCCAAUACUGACGCUCAUGCACGAAAGCGUGGGGGAGCAAACAGGAUUAGAUACCCUGGUAGUCCACGCCCUAAACGAUGUCAACUAGUUGUUGGGGAUUCAUUCCUUAGUAACGUAGCUAACGCGUGAAGUUGACCGCCUGGGGAGUACGGUCGCAAGAUU